UACAGAGGUCCCAAGCGUUGUUCGGAUUCACUGGGCGUAAAGGGUGCGUAGGCGGUCGGGUAAGUCUGAUGUGAAAUCUCACAGCUUAACUGUGAAACUGCAUUGGAUACUAUCCAGCUAGAGGAAUGGAGGGGAGACUGGAAUACUUGGUGUAGCAGUGAAAUGCGUAGAUAUCAAGUGGAACACCAGUGGCGAAGGCGAGUCUCUGGACAUUUCCUGACGCUGAGGCACGAAAGCCAGGGGAGCAAACGGG
rnacentral:rRNA from 1 species